CCUCUUCCAGGAAAAGCCACUAAGCUUCAGCUACACACGACCGUACCGCAAACCGACACUGGUGCGCGAGAUGAGUAUUCUAAGGCGCUUGAGAGAACUCAGGAGAAGGAACUCGGCAAAUUGACACCGUAACUUCGGAAGAAGGUGUGCCUUUAGUAGGUGAACCUGUACAAGGGGAGCCCAAUGAGGUUGCAAAAAAUCGGUGGCUGCGACUGUUUAAUAAAAACACAGCACUCUGCAAACACGAAAGUGGACGUAUAGGGUGUGACGCCUGCCCGGUGCUGGAAGAUUAAAUGAUGGGGUGCAAGCUCUUGAUUGAAGUCCCAGUAAACGGCGGCCGUAACUAUAACGGUCCUAAGGUAGCGAAAUUCCUUGUCGGGUAAGUUCCGACCUGCACGAAUGGCGUAACGAUGGCCACACUGUCUCCUCCUGAGACUCAGCGAAGUUGAAAUGUUUGUGAUGAUGCAAUCUCCCCGCGGAAAGACGGAAAGACCCCAUGAACCUUUACUGUAGCUUUGUAUUGGACUUUGAACAGAUCUGUGUAGGAUAGGUGGGAGGCUUUGAAGUGUGGUCGCUAGAUCGCAUGGAGCCAACGUUGAAAUACCACCCUGGUGUGUUUGAGGUUCUAACCUAGGCCCGUAAUCCGGGUCGGGGACAGUGCAUGGUAGGCAGUUUGACUGGGGCGGUCUCCUCCCAAAGCGUAACGGAGGAGUUCGAAGGUACGCUAGGUACGGUCGGACAUCGUGCUAAUAGUGCAAUGGCAUAAGCGUGCUUAACUGCGAGACUGACAAGUCGAGCAGAUGCGAAAGCAGGACAUAGUGAUCCGGUGGUUCUGUAUGGAAGGGCCAUCGCUCAACGGAUAAAAGGUACUCUGGGGAUAACAGGCUGAUACCGCCCAAGAGUUCAUAUCGACGGCGGUGUUUGGCACCUCGAUGUCGGCUCAUCUCAUCCUGGGGCUGUAGCCGGUCCCAAGGGUAUGGCUGUUCGCCAUUUAAAGAGGUACGUGAGCUGGGUUUAAAACGUCGUGGGACAGUUUGGUCCCUAUCUUCCGUGGGCGCUGCAGAUUUGAGGAAGCCUGCUCCUAGUACGAGAGGACCGGAGUGGACACACCUCUGGUGUAUCGGUUGUCACGCCAGUGGCAUUGCCGAGUAGCUAUGUGUGGAAGAGAUAACCGCUGAAAGCAUCUAAGCGGGAAACUCGUUUCAAGAUGAGAUCUGCCGGGGCCUUGAGCCCCCUAAAGAGUCGUUCAAGACCAGGACGUUGAUAGGUCGGGUGUGGAAGCGCAGUAAUGCGUUAAGCUAACCGAUACUAAUUGCUCGUGCGGCUUGACCCC
rnacentral:rRNA from 1 species